CCACUGCAUUUUUCUAGAUGUGGUACGAGCUCGACGAACGGUUCCUUGUGGGAACAAAUUAGUGCAGUAAACGGCCAAGAAGCAAUUAAAACGAGUGUGCGCUUCUUCGCUAAACCAGGCCAUCCAUUGAGGAUGACCUAACAUGGUAAAGGUCCAUGACAGCGGCUCGAAAACUCCUGACAAGUCACCGUUGCCCUCAAAAGAGACCCCUCGGCUUUUAAACGGAUGUGCAAUAACCCCCGAACCAAAGGUUGAGUGCAUUUGCAUGGCAACAGCCAGCCUGUCCUUCAGCUAAUAUAGGAAGAGGCAAGAAAACCAUAGAAGCAUCAUGUUGUGACUAAUUUUCUCAGCAUUGAGCCACAUGGCUGACUUGAUCACUUCUUGCUGCUGCACAAAGCAGAAGAAGAUGACAGCAGCGGGAUGACUCAACCGCUGUAAAGGACAACAGCAAGUGUGGACCGUGUCGCAGGACAAAACAACAUCCAGUCCGCAUGUCUUCUGAUCCUUUUUUUCUUGGGUGAUGCCACGUUUGUUCUAAUGAUGACUUUUCCGGAAACUCCCAGUGGGGAAGUCGGAUCCCGUCUGACAGCUGACAAGCGUGACAGCUUCCCAUUCCUAUUCCCAAUCAUGAUCAUCUCAACUGAUUCCGAAAAAAAAUAAAUAAAACAGUUGUGGUCACU